AGAACGAACGCUGGCGGCAUGCCUAACACAUGCAAGUCGAACGAGACCUUCGGGUCUAGUGGCGCACGGGUGCGUAACGCGUGGGAAUCUGCCCUUAGGUACGGAAUAACAGUGAGAAAUUACUGCUAAUACCGUAUGAUGUCUUCGGACCAAAGAUUUAUCGCCUAGGGAUGAGCCCGCGUUGGAUUAGCUAGUUGGUGGGGUAAAAGCCUACCAAGGCGACGAUCCAUAGCUGGUCUGAGAGGAUGAUCAGCCACACUGGGACUGAGACACGGCCCAGACUCCUACGGGAGGCAGCAGUGGGGAAUAUUGGACAAUGGGCGAAAGCCUGAUCCAGCAAUGCCGCGUGAGUGAAGAAGGCCUUCGGGUUGUAAAGCUCUUUUACCCGGGAAGAUAAUGACUGUACCGGGAGAAUAAGCCCCGGCUAACUCCGUGCCAGCAGCC
rnacentral:rRNA from 1 species